rnacentral:rRNA from 1 species
UCCUACGGGGGGCAGCAGUAGGGAAUUUUCGUCAAUGGGCGCAAGCCUGAACGAGCAAUGCCGCGUGAACGAGGAAGGUCUUCGGAUCGUAAAGUUCUGUUGGAGGGGAAAAAGAGCGGAGAGAGGAAAUGGUCUCCGAUUGAUAUUACCCUUCGAGGAAGUCACGGCUAACUACGUGCCAGCAGCCGCGGUAAUACGUAGGUGGCGAGCGUUAUCCGGAAUGAUUGGGCGUAAAGGGUGCGUAGGCGGCCUGCUAAGUCUGGAGUGAAAGGUACCGGCUCAACCGGUACAGGCUCUGGAAACUG